GACGAACGCUGGCGGCGUGCUUAACACAUGCAAGUCGAACGAUGAAACCUAGAUUGCUAGGUCGAUUAGUGGCGAACGGGUGAGUAACACGUGACUAACCUGCCCCUUUCUCUGGGAUAACGCUCCGAAAGGAGUGCUAAUACCGGAUACUCACACCGAGGCACAUGCCUUGGUGUGGAAAGUUUUUCGGAAAGGGAUGGAGUCGCGGCCUAUCAGCUUGUUGGUGAGGUAACGGCUCACCAAGGCGACGACGGGUAGCCGGCCUGAGAGGGCGACCGGCCACACUGGAACUGAGACACGGCCCAGACUCCUACGGGAGGCAGCAGUGGGGAAUACUGCACAAUGGGCGCAAGCCUGAUGCAGCGACGCCGCGUGAGGGAUGAAGGUCUUCGGAUUGUAAACCUCUUUCAGUAGGGACGAAGCGAAAGUGACGGUACCUAAAGAAGAAGCACCGGCUAACUACGUGCCAGCCGCCGCAGUAA
rnacentral:rRNA from 1 species